GUGCUCACUUUGGCAACACUAUAUACUAAAAUUGGAACGAUACAGAGAAGAUUAACAUGGCCCCUGCACAAAUAUAACAUGCAAAUUUGUGAAGUGUUCCAUAUUUUU
rnacentral:snRNA from 2 species